rnacentral:rRNA from 1 species
AGAGCGAACGCUGGCGGCAGGCCUAAUACAUGCAAGUCGAACGGACCCUUCGGGGUUAGUGGCGGACGGGUGAGUAACACGUGGGAACGUGCCCUUUGGUUCGGAACAACUCAGGGAAACUUGAGCUAAUACCGAAUGUGCCCUUCGGGGAAAGAUUUAUCGCCAUUGGAGCGGCCCGCGUCUGAUUAGCUAGUUGGUGAGGUAAAGGCUCACCAAGGCUACGAUCAGUAGCUGGUCUGAGAGGAUGAUCAGCCACACUGGGACUGAGACACGGCCCAGACUCCUACGGGAGGCAGCAGUAGGGAAUCUUGCGCAAUGGGCGAAAGCCUGACGCAGCCAUGCCGCGUGAAUGAUGAAGGUCUUAGGAUUGUAAAAUUCUUUCAGCGGGGACGAUAAUGACGGUACCCGCAGAAGAAGCCCCGGCUAACUUCGCGCCAGCAGCCGC